AGAGUUUGAUCCUGGCUCAGGAUGAACGCUAGCGGCAGGCUUAACACAUGCAAGUCGAACGGUAACAUUGGUGCUUGCACCAGAUGACGAGUGGCGCACGGGUGCGUAACGCGUAUGCAAUCUACCUUUUACUGAAGAAUAGCCCAGAGAAAUUUGGAAUAAUCCUUCAUAAUAUCAUUUAUCAGCAUUGAUUUUUGAUUAAAGCUCCGGCGGUAAAAGAUGAGCAUGCGUUCUAUUAGCUAGUAGGUGAGGUAACGGCUCACCUAGGCUACGAUAGAUAGGGGCCCUGAGAGGGGGAUCCCCCACACUGGUACUGAGACACGGACCAGACUCCUACGGGAGGCAGCAGUGAGGAAUAUUGGACAAUGGAGGCAACUCUGAUCCAGCAAUGCCGCGUGUGUGAUGAAGGCCCUAGGGUUGUAAAGCACUUUCACUGGUGAAGAUGAUGACGGUAACCAGAGAAGAAGCCCCGGCUAACUUCGUGCCAGCAGCCGCGGUAAUACGAAGGGGGCGAGCGUUGUUCGGAAUUACUGGGCGUAAAGGGCGCGUAGGCGGCUCUUUAAGUUAGGCGUGAAAGCCCCGGGCUCAACCUGGGAAUUGCGCUUAAGACUGAAGAGCUAGAAAACGGAAGAGGGUAGUGGAAUUCCCAGUGUAGAGGUGAAAUUCGUAGAUAUUCGGAGGAACACCAGUGGCGAAGGCGGCUCACUGGCUCGAUACUGACGCUGAGGUGCGAAAGUGUGGGGAGCAAACAGGAUUAGAUACCCUGGUAGUCCACACCGUAAACGAUGAAUGCCAGUCGUCGGGUUGCUUGCAACUCGGUGACACACCUAACGGAUUAAGCAUUCCGCCUGGGGAGUACGGUCGCAAGAUUAAAACUCAAAGGAAUUGACGGGGGCCCGCACAAGCGGUGGAGCAUGUGGUUUAAUUCGAAGCAACGCGCAGAACCUUACCAACCCUUGACAUCCUGUGCUACAUCCAGAGAUGGAUGGUUCCCUUCGGGGACGCAGUGACAGGUGCUGCAUGGCUGUCGUCAGCUCGUG
rnacentral:rRNA from 1 species